rnacentral:rRNA from 1 species
UACAGAGGUCUCAAGCGUUGUUCGGAUUCAUUGGGCUUAAAGGGUGUGUAGGUGGCGCCGUAAGUCGGGUGUGAAAUCUCGGAGCUUAACUCCGAAACUGCAUUCGAUACUGCGGUGCUUGAGGACUGGAGAGGAGACUGGAAUUCAUGGUGUAGCAGUGAAAUGCGUAGAGAUCAUGAGGAAGACCAGUGGCGAAGGCGGGUCUCUGGACAGUUCCUGACACUGAGACACGAAGGCCAGGGGAGCAAACGGG